rnacentral:rRNA from 1 species
GACAGAGGGGGCAAGCGUUGCUCGGAAUUACUGGGCGUAAAGGGCGCGUAGGCGGAAUGGCAAGUCGGUCGUGAAAUCCUUCGGCUCAACCGAAGAACGUCGAUCGAAACUGCCGUUCUUGAGGAUUGCAGAGGAGACUGGAAUUCCCGGUGUAGCGGUGAAAUGUGUAGAGAUCGGGAGGAACACCGGUGGCGAAGGCGGCCCACUGGUCCGGUACUGACGCUGAGGUGCGAAAGCGUGGGGAGCAAACAGG